rnacentral:rRNA from 1 species
GAUGAACGCUGGCGGCGUGCCUAAUACAUGCAAGUCGAGCGAACCACUUCGGUGGUGAGCGGCGAACGGGUGAGUAACACGUAGGUGAUCUGCCCAUCAGACGGGGACAACGAUUGGAAACGAUCGCUAAUACCGGAUAGGCAGAAAGUUUAAAGGUGCUUCUGGCACCGCUGAUGGAUGAGCCUGCGGCGCAUUAGCUAGUUGGUAGGGUAAAGGCCUACCAAGGCGACGAUGCGUAGCCGACCUGAGAGGGUGAACGGCCACACUGGGACUGAGACACGGCCCAGACUCCUGCGGGAGGCAGCAGUAGGGAAUCUUCGACAAUGGGCGAAAGCCUGACCGAGCAACGCCGCGUGAAUGAUGAAGGCCUUCGGGUUGUAAAAUUCUGUUAUAAGGGAAGAACGACUUUAGUAGGAAAUGGCUAGAGUGUGACGGUACCUUAUGAGAAAGCCACGGCUAACUACGUGCCAGCCGCCGCUGUAA